AGCAGCCGCGGUAAUUCCAGCUCCAAUAGCGUAUAUUAAAGUUGUUGCAGUUAAAAAGCUCGUAGUUGAAUUUCGGGAUCAAUAUGUUGGUCGUGCCUCGGUACGUACUAGCAUAUUGGUUUCUCCUUUCUGAAGAACCAUGAUGUCAUUUAUUUGGUGUCGUGGGGAAUCAGGACUGUUACUUUGAAAAAAUUAGAGUGUUUAAAGCAGGCUCACGCUUGAAUACACUAGCAUGGAAUAAUGAAAUAGGACGUUUGAUUCUAUUUUGUUGGUUUCUAGGAUCGACGUAAUGAUUAAUAGGGAUAGUUGGGGGCAUUAGUAUUCAAUUGUCAGAGGUGAAAUUCUUGGAUUUAUUGAAGACUAACUACUGCGAAAGCAUUUGCCAAGGAUGUUUUCAUUAAUCAAGAACGAAAGUUAGGGGAUCGAAGACGAUCAGAUACCGUCGUAGUCUUAACCAUAAACUAUGCCGACUAGGGAUCGGAUGAUGUUAAAUUUUUUAA
rnacentral:misc_RNA from 1 species